rnacentral:rRNA from 1 species
AGAGCGAACGCUGGCGGCAGGCUUAACACAUGCAAGUCGAGCGCCCCGCAAGGGGAGCGGCAGACGGGAGAGUAACACGUGGGAACGUACCUUUCGGUUCGGAACAACCCAGGGAAACUUGGGCUAAUACCGGAUAAGCCCUUACGGGGAAAGAUUUAUCGCCGAAAGAUCGGCCCGCGUCUGAUUAGCUAGUUGGUGGGGUAAUGGCCCACCAAGGCGACGAUCAGUAGCUGGUCUGAGAGGAUGAUCAGCCACAUUGGGACUGAGACACGGCCCAAACUCCUACGGGAGGCAGCAGUGGGGAAUAUUGGACAAUGGGCGCAAGCCUGAUCCAGCCAUGCCGCGUGAGUGAUGAAGGCCCUAGGGUUGUAAAGCUCUUUUGUGCGGGAAGAUAAUGACGGUACCGCAAGAAUAAGCCCCGGCUAACUUCGUGCCAGCAGCCGC